UACGUAGGUGGCAAGCGUUGUCCGGAAUUAUUGGGCGUAAAGCGCGCGCAGGCGGUCCUUUAAGUCUGAUGUGAAAGCCCACGGCUCAACCGUGGAGGGUCAUUGGAAAACUGGAGGACUUGAGUACAGAAGAGGAAAAGCGGAAUUCCACGUGUAGCGGUGAAAUGCGUAGAGAUGUGGAGGAACACCAGUGGCGAAGGCGGCUUUCUGGUCUGUAACUGACGCUGAGGCGCGAAAGCGUGGGUAGCAAACGGG
rnacentral:rRNA from 1 species